UACAGAGGUGGCAAGCGUUGUUCGGAAUUACUGGGCGUAAAGGGCGCGUAGGCGGUCUUUUAAGUCUUGUGUGAAAUCCCUCGGCUCAACUGAGGAACUGCACGGGAUACUGGAAGACUUGAGUUCGGGAGAGGGAAGCGGAAUUCCAGGUGUAGCGGUGAAAUGCGUAGAUAUCCGGAGGAACACCGGUGGCGAAGGCGGAUCUCUGGGCCUUACCUGACGCUGAGGCGCGAAAGCUAGGGGAGCGAACAGG
rnacentral:rRNA from 1 species